ACAUAUAUUUUUUAAUAUAGAUGCGAAUGAAUACUAGUUUUGCGGUUACCAGCUCUACUAUCCAAAACUUAAGCCUAAGUAUUGUUCGGAGGUGAUUUGGGCUAUACUUGCCCUACAAAAUAUUCCCUCCCAUAAUUUUCAAGCCCGCCCUCUCGCUAAUUUUUUACUCCCUCAGAUUAGAAAAUACAUUCAUUUGAACCCUAUCUCCCUCAAUCGCGCCUCAGUAGUGCCCUAUCUCCCUCAAUCGUACCCUUUAUCCUUCAAUUGUCCCUACCCUCAGUGGCGCCUCCGCUUAGCGGCACCUCCCCUCACUUGUGCCUCCUUACCAGUCGUCUCCCCUCUAAUUUCUCUCCAACUCAUUCGCCUACCCUCUAUUAGUUCUCCAAAUCAGUCGCAGACAUCCAAAUCCAAACCCUAUGAAUAUGUUGUAGCUGAGUUGAAAGUUUGGCGACUUCAACGAAGCAACUACAUAUUCUCUACAAUUGUACUUUUGGGUUUGUUCUCAAUCCCUUUAUGUUUUCACGGGUUUGGUCUUUUUCUGUUUAAUUUGUUGUUGGUAUGCAAUAAUUCGAUUAAUUCUUCAAUCAUUUUGUUUGUGAGAUAUUUUAUAUUUUUAUUUAAUCUUCCUUUUUGUGUGUGUUUUUCAAGAACCACAGUUUUACAUAUGAAGUUUUGUUCUUGAUUGUUUGCCCCUUUUCCUUAAAACUUUAAUGUUUUAAAUCUAAUUUUGUAUUUUGUUGAAAACUAAUGUCUGAACUAGUAUAUGCUUCUAUUGUUUCAAUGGUACCUUUUCCCCCUUCUCAGUCCUUUUAAUUAGCUUUUCUGAGGGGAAAAACGGAAGCAAAAUGUGGUCUUGGUUAGUUUCUACAGUGACAAUAUCUUUUUGGCUCUGUAAAUUAAUCUCUUGCGUUAGACUUCUGAUCUAGAGAGUUUAACUGGUUCAUGAGGACUGACUCAUGUGCACCAAUUUUUUUUCCUUCUCUUAAUAAUGUAGCUGGUAACAUUAAAAUUUAAUGUUGGCUUUCCAUGCCAAGAAAAGAGAAAUGUAAAAGAUUGAAUGAUUUAUUUAUGAAUUCUAUUUUUGCAACAUGUUCAUUAUUUCUGUGGAAUGUCUUUUGUUGGUCAUCACUUAUCAGUACACUACAUAUAUGUAUUAUAUAUUGUGGAAUCAUAGGAGGUCGUUUAGGAGUGAUUUUUAUAAUCUUGCUUUAUGGGGGUGGAAUAAUUCUUUUGUUUGUCCUACUUUUAUAUUGUCAUUAAGAUAACAAAGUCAAGUUGAGGCUGGCUCAGCUGAGUCUUGUUGCACUCGGUACAUUAUUUGAUACCAAAGUUUGUUUUUCUUUUUAUUACAUUUUGUUUUCUUUCCUUUAUUUUUUGAAUGUCAUGAAGAUUAUCAAGACUUGAAUCUUUCAGAUGCUUAUUAAAUAAGGGGCAACACUGUGACAUGGUAUAUGUAACAAGUAUAUGCACCUUUUUUUUAUUUUUUUUAUUUUUUUUAUUUUUUGCGUUAGAUCAAUUGCUAAGCUCUUUACACUACCAAGGUGCUAAAACAUGCCCCUUUCAUGCUAGAAGCACAAAGUGAUCAUAAAAGGUGGUAUGAUCCAAUGCUAGUAUGUCAUAUAGUGUAAUAUUUGUCUUAUUUUUAUUACAGUAUGAUGCUAAAUUAUGUAUCAUUUGAGGUUGUUCAGUUAAAGUCUUUUAGAUUUGGGGUUUCUUCUUGUUUUCCUGAAUGUUUGCUAAUGGCGUAUUGAGUAUUCAUGCAGGUUGGACCAGAGAUUUUCUUAUUGAAAAAAUGGGGGAGGGUUUUAUAAAUCUGAUCACAUAGUACACUAUUUAUUGUAUGAGCUUUUUCUCUAAGACUAACCAGAAAAGUCUACAUGCAUUUCCUCCACCUUACUAUGACUUAAUUGGUAGUUGAUUUGAAAUAGAAGUUUAGGGGCUCUGUCUCAUUGAAGUAGAAAUUUAAAAUUUUUGUAUGAAUUUUUGAUAAAGUGCAUUCAUAAUUUACGACAUGCCAUAAACAAAUAUAGCAUUACUUUUUAAUUGUUUGAAUUCUUAGUUUCAACAUAUUGCAAGGAUAUGAAAUCCUUGUUGGUUGAUUUAGACGAUGAGUAUAACUGAAUUGGGUACUAUAUUGGAGGAAAUCUAUAGGGUUUAAGACCCUAACUAUUUUAAAAGCUUUACUUAUCAAACAAAAAUUAAAUUUGAAAGCUUGCUAUUGUCAAUUGAGAAAUCUAUAUGUUGUUUGUGUUUGUUUUUGUGUGUGCGUGUAUAUAUUUAUUAUAUUCCUUUUUUGACUCGGUCAUUUGUUGUGAUUUUUAUUUUUGCCUUUGUAUGAGCAGUUAUGGAGGCUUGUGCCAUAUCUAUCACUUGAGUUGGGGUUAUAGUCUGUAACUAAAUUUCUCAGAUGUUUUCCUUCAUUGAGAAGUUAUUUUUUUACUUUAUUUUAUUUUUUCGUUUGAACCGCAAGGAUUUGGUGAGACUCUUAGGUGGUGCAGUUGCAGGAAUCCAUUCCAUGAUAGAUGAGCAUUUUUGCAUUAGCGUUGUAAAGAACAUGGCAGCAGGAGCCAUACAAAUCGGUAUACACUGUACUUUUGUUCCUAUCAUAUACUACAUCUUAUAUUGAAAAGAGAACCAUACCAAUCUGUAUGCACUGUACGAAGUUUGAUUAUAAAGGUAGUUUCAAUCCCCAUAAAAAAAAUAACAAAGCAAAUACCAUUUAAAUUAAAAAGAAGGUACUUUGUUUUCUUUCUCUAGGAUUACCUUUAAGUGCUAUUAUUAAACUAAGUGCCCAACCUAUGAUGUGGGCAUAGUGCGAAAUCGGUCGCAAAAGCUGAUGAGUUGAAAAAAUUAGGAUUGGGAGCAUUGCCAUUGGCUGUAUUGAUACUGUCAUAUUAUUUUCUCCUGAGCCUUUUAUAUACUCAUGUGCAUGGGUCUGUCCUUGUUUUGACAGUUUCUUUUAUAAACUAUUUUCGUUUAUCAAAAAAUGAAUCUGAUUUUACAAGGACUUUUUUGAUAUUGUUAUUAUGAACUUUUGGUUUUAAGAUAUACUUGGUUUGACUAAUAAAAAUUUAAAGAAACAUUUGUACUAAGAAUAAUGUGUUUGAAAGAAAGUUGUACGAGUGAUAUAGGAUGUGUUUAUUACAGCUUCAAAUUCAAUUGUAUACAAUAUAAAAAAUAUAGAAAAUGAGUGUUUUGUCAUUGAUGGUCAAUUGCUAGUCUUUACUCCCAUGGCUUUUUGCAAUUCCUUCUUAAGGUCAUUUUGAAUUGAUUUUACACAAGGAUCAAUGCUUUGUGCUCUGUAUCAAAAUUCAAAGACCAUUAUGAAUGACUUUGACAAUGUGCAACGUUCACAAUACACGAUUUUUACGAUGCAACAGUCAGCCAUGAAUUUGCACUAAAUGUGCCGGAUUGGGGCCUCAGUGUGUGAUUAGAGUAGUUGGUUACUACCUGUGUCCUCAAAAGGAUGUCUAAGAGUACAAUGGGCUGACAAAUUUAAGGUUGGCAAAUUUGGACCCACAUAAAUACCGUAAUUAACUUGAGAGUGGAAUGUUCUUACGAGGAUAUGUGCAUUUUGGGUUAAAUUAUUAUGCAUGUCAUAUUUCACAUUUAGUUUGUGUACUAUAGACUUCUUUUUUAGGAUAAAAUCUUGGUGUAUUUUUGGACAUGCUUUUGAGGAUGGAGUACCAAGUCAGAUGACCUUUAAUAAAGAUGGUCCAUGUAAUCUUUAGAAAAUAAGAACUUGAUUUUGGGAUAAUGAUUUCUUGGUUCAUUCUUAAUUGGCUUAUAUACACAAGUAUCCUAAUUUACAGUGUACAUUAGUACCACAUAGAAACUCUAUUGUCUUUUUCUGCUUAUGAGCAAUACGGUGUACAUUAGUACCACGUAGCAACUCUAUUAUCUUUGUGUAUUGAUUUUGGCACUAAGUGCCUCUGGUGACCUAUUUGCUUCAUUUUUCUGACUUUGCUAUUAUUUUUAAAUAUGUGUAGGAAGACUGUUUCUACGACCUGCCUUACAAAAUUGGGUAUCAAAUUUUCGUGUUACGUUUACGGAAGACAAGGGACGAAAUUAUGAAGUGUACUCUCUCUAUAUAUGUAGAUAUAUACUUUGAUUGAAGAACUGUGGUAGCUUUAGAUGGUUAAUUGUAAAGAAAAUGAAUUAUUAUGUAGUGGAUGAUUUUAUUAAGUUAAUAAUAUUUUAAUUUUUUGUAUUUUUGCUAUUAUUUG
rnacentral:lncRNA from 1 species